rnacentral:rRNA from 1 species
AGUCGAGCGGUAGAGAGAAGCUUGCUUCUCUUGAGAGCGGCGGACGGGUGAGUAAUACCUAGGAAUCUGCCUGAUAGUGGGGGAUAACGUUCGGAAACGGACGCUAAUACCGCAUACGUCCUACGGGAGAAAGCAGGGGACCUUCGGGCCUUGCGCUAUCAGAUGAGCCUAGGUCGGAUUAGCUAGUUGGUGAGGUAAUGGCUCACCAAGGCUACGAUCCGUAACUGGUCUGAGAGGAUGAUCAGUCACACUGGAACUGAGACACGGUCCAGACUCCUACGGGAGGCAGCAGUGGGGAAUAUUGGACAAUGGGCGAAAGCCUGAUCCAGCCAUGCCGCGUGUGUGAAGAAGGUCUUCGGAUUGUAAAGCACUUUAAGUUGGGAGGAAGGGCAUUAACCUAAUACGUUAGUGUUUUGACGUUACCGACAGAAUAAGCACCGGCUAACUCUGUGCCAGCAGCCGCGGUAAUACAGAGGGUGCAAGCGUUAAUCGGAAUUACUGGGCGUAAAGCGCGCGUAGGUGGUUUGUUAAGUUGAAUGUGAAAUCCCCGGGCUCAACCUGGGAACUGCAUCCAAAACUGGCAAGCUAGAGUAUGGUAGAGGGUAGUGGAAUUUCCUGUGUAGCGGUGAAAUGCGUAGAUAUAGGAAGGAACACCAGUGGCGAAGGCGACUACCUGGACUGAUACUGACACUGAGGUGCGAAAGCGUGGGGAGCAAACAGGAUUAGAUACCCUGGUAGUCCACGCCGUAAACGAUGUCAACUAGCCGUUGGGGAGUCUUGAACUCUUAGUGGCGCAGCUAACGCAUUAAGUUGACCGCCUGGGGAGUACGGC